AAUAAAUGUAGCCAUAGAUAUACGUGCUCAGCGUUUUGACCAUCCGUCUUAUUUAAAAAAUUUAUGAAAAAUAUUAAAAAAAAUUAGUCACACAUAAAGUACUAUUCAUGUUUUAUCAUCUAAUAACAAUAAAAAUACUAAUCAUAAUCUUUUUUCAAAUAAAACGAAUGGUCAAACGUUGGACAUAAACAGUGCUAAAACUGUACUUAUU
rnacentral:pre_miRNA from 1 species